AGAAUAUUUAUGAAAAGGAAACUUCUAAUUUCUUAUUUAGCGGUUAAACUCCGUUUAUAUUCUA
rnacentral:tRNA from 1 species